GAGAACCCCGGGGGCGCGGCGGGGGUAAGCCGGAGGGUGCAAGCGUGGUCCGGAAUCACGGGGCGUGAAGGGCGCGUAGGCGGCUUGAGAAGUCACUUGUGAAAUCCCGUUGCUCAACGACGGGGCGGCAGGUGAGACUGGCGGGCUGGAGCUUGGUAGGGGCGAGUGGAAUUCCCGGUGUAGCGGUGGAAUGCGUAGAGAUCGGGAAGAACACCGGUGGCGAAGGCGGCUCGCUGGGCCAAUGCUGACGCUGAUGCGCGAAAGCGUGGGGAGCAAACAGGAUUAGAUACCCCAGUAGUC
rnacentral:rRNA from 1 species